rnacentral:rRNA from 1 species
UGGGGAAUAUUGCACAAUGGGCGCAAGCCUGAUGCAGCCAUGCCGCGUGUGUGAAGAAGGCCUUCGGGUUGUAAAGCACUUUCAGCGGGGAGGAAGGCGUUAAGGUUAAUAACCUUGGCGAUUGACGUUACCCGCAGAAGAAGCACCGGCUAACUCCGUGCCAGCAGCCGCGGUAAUACGGAGGGUGCAAGCGUUAAUCGGAAUUACUGGGCGUAAAGCGCACGCAGGCGGUUUGUUAAGUCAGAUGUGAAAUCCCCGGGCUCAAACUGGGAACUGAAUCUGAAACUGGCAAGCUUGAGUCUCGUAGAGGGGGGUAGAAUUCCAGGUGUAGCGGUGAAAUGCGUAGAGAUCUGGAGGAAUACCGGUGGCGAAGGCGGCCCCCUGGACGAAGACUGACGCUCAGGUGCGAAAGCGUGGGGAGCAAACAGG